rnacentral:lncRNA from 1 species
UUUAAGACACCUAGGUAAGGUUAUAAGCACGAGCCCGAGUGAAGCAGUGUUUGAAUUUAGGCUGUGUCACUUCCUAAUAAUGUGUGUGGUUACGCAAUUUCCUUGUGUCUCAAUAAAAUAGAAGUAAUAAUAACAGAGCCUCCCUCAGAGGGCUGUUGGAGGAGUAGAUGAGGUGCUACAUGCAGGGCCCUGAGAACUGUCCUGUCGCUCAGGAAGCAAGUUUUGCAGGGUGUGGACAAUCGGGCAAGUGACUGCAUGUGACAACAGAGAGAGGGCAUGGUACACGGUGGCAGAUGAGCCCGGGACUGGAGGCAGAUCUGGGUUCCAGUUCGGGCUCUACCAGCAGCACCCAUGUGUCCUUCUGUUCUCUGGGCCUCAAUUUCCUGUUGUAAAAUUCAGAACUUGGAAGAGGUAAGUGGUUAGGUCAUUCCUGAGACAUCCCAGAUAAUCACAGCCAUCCAAACGUUGGCUCGGGAGCCCUGAGUAACCAAGACUGCAGGAAGCAACAGUUUAGUAAGGGUUCAGAAUCCUGUGAUUAGGGCUCGAGAAUGAAAUACUCUUCUAAGAGCUUCUCCCAGACCAAAAGGAGCUAAUUAGGAAAGAAUGGUGGCAUUCUCUGGGCAAACUGGAGGAGCCCCUGGGCUUGGCCUCCUUAUGCCUUCCUCCUUGACCCUCCUCUAGCCCCCUUGGACACAACACAACGUCCCCCCUCUGCUUUUUCCCCAGAUACUAUGGUAAACCUGCUCUCAGAUCUUUCUCCACACCUAGAAAAAUUCAUUCAUCGACUAUACACUUUAAUGAAUAUGCACUUACUAUGUACCAGAUAUUCUUUGGCUGCUAGGGCAGAGCAGCAGGGACAUAGCCCCUGUCCCCGUGGGGUCAACAUGCUGGUGGAGGGAGUCAGAGGUAAUAAAAUAAGCAAGUAAGACACACAGUAGAGCAGGCAGAGUUGGCGGAGAACUGGAUCUAACUGGGUUGGGGUUUUGCCAAGCAAGUACAGUCCAACUUGGAGUGUGGAGGGAAGGGUAUAGAAAAGGUAGGGACUAGAAUAACUAACCCUGGAAUUUAGGCUGGGAAAGGAGGGAGUAGGGAUUUGAAAGCGGGUGAGGUCAGUAGUCUGUGGGGCCCUGAGGGGCGAUGGCUCCAAGGCACGAGCCGGAAAGAGGUUUGACAGUGGCUUCUCUGGAGGGCUCAAGCUUGACCAGGAAACUGAGUGCCGAGCCCUGGAAGAUCACUGGGGAGAGGAGGUCAAAGAACUGGGAGGCCAGGGCACCAUCGGCGGGCUGGUAAGUGGAUGGUGAAACCACCAGGCAGGGGGCAGGAGGAGCUGGAGAGAGGACGCGAGAUGGGAGCUAAAAUCCUAAAAUCCGCAGGGAGUGCGGAAAGCAGUGACAGCAGUGAGCGCGGGGAGGCUGGUCCUGAGUCUGGGAUGGGGCGAUGGCGUUCAAGAAGACAUAUUUAAGAGUACUAUGUAAUUUUACGUGUGGGAAGAACCUUUUGUUUUUGUAAUUAGAACUACAGAAAGGGACAGAGCUGUUUAUGUCAUGAAAAGCAGGCCUGAGCAUUAGAAGACUGAGAAACACCUGGGAGGAUCUUGUUUCAACAGAGCUCAAAGCCGUGGCAAAAGGACGGAGCUCGAAUUGUGCAAUUAAACCCAGGCCCCCAGCAAAUGGAAAAUGCCAUCCACUGGCACAGAGACUUCAGUUGGGAGCCGAGGACUGAACUCAGACCACCAUUCUUUGUUCAACAUUUCUUCCUGAGGGGCCUGGAGGAAGUCACACCCACAGGCCAGAGCUCAACAUUCCUUUCUGCUGACCCCAGCAUUUCAGGAGGUUCCUGUGAAAAACCUACAUGCACACACCCCCACGUGCAGCUGCAGACUGCUAUCUAUACACGAAGUUAUGCAUCGCAGAGUCGACUGCAAAAGGCUGGAGCCCACACAGCGUCUAUCAAUAGGGAACGGGUUAAAUCGACCACAAGAUUUCCAUAUGACGAUGGAACACUUUCCAGCCAAGAAAGGAGGAGGAAGUCCUCACUGCUCUGAUACGGAACAGUCACCAAGACAUAUUUUAAGUAAAAAAAAGGCAGCAUGCAUAACCAGGGAAAUGAAAACUAAAACCACAGUGAGUUACAAUUUCACACAGAUCCAUCUACAAAAAAAAAAAAGCUGAUAAUUGCAGGUGUUGGUGAAGAAGUGGAGUGAGGGGAAUGCUCAAACUACUAGUGGGUGUGCGAAUGGUUAUAACCACUUUUUAAAAUUUUGGCAUUAUCUACUGAAGUUGACAAUGUACUUUCCCAAUGGCCUUGCAAAUGCCCUGGAGAAGUUCUUACCCAACCCCCGCCAUUCCCCCCAACACACACCAAAAGAAACAAUUAAGAACAUUUGCACCAGCUCUGUUCCUAGAACCCCAAAACUGAGGCCAGCACUGAGGCCAAGCACAGUGGCUCAUGCCUGUAAUCCCAGCAGGCAUGAGCCACCCUUUGGGAGCCUGAGGCCGGAGGA